rnacentral:lncRNA from 1 species
AAUCGACUUCAAACUUGGUACACAUGUUCCCUAUGAUAUGAUCUUUCUAAUUUUAAUGCCAAAUUAGAGAUUUUACCCUAAUUUCACGGUCCACUGAACAUAAAAAAUGAUAGUGCGAGUGGGGCAUUCGUGUACUGAGGACACAUUCUUGUUUAAGUAAUUUUUUUUUUCUAUUCUUUUUAUUUUAGCCCAAAAAAUAUUCUCUAUUCUGUAUUGUAUUUUUGCCAUUUUUUCUGUAGUUUAGGUUCAUUUUUUCUGUUCUGUAAACCCCAUCCAGACCCUGAAUUAUGGGACACACAUGAAAUGAGUUUUUCAUUUUUAUACUGAAAUAUUUAUAUUUUGCAUUUUAUAAUGUUAUGUGUGUUUAUAUAUGAAACCAAACAUGUAAAGUGUCAAUAUUUGUGCAAACACUGCCAAAAUAUGAAGUUGUUUUUUUAAAGUGACUGAUUAAAGAUAAAAUUAUUUUAAUUAUGACUUUUUAAUCACAUCAAUUAUAGAAAUUGUAAUUUUAAUAUCAAGAUUUGACCAAAGGAAUUAAUAAGUCAUUUUGUGUUUGAUCUAAGAUUUAGAAGAGGGACACAGUUCUAAGAUAAAGGGCACGUAUGUGUGGUUUCUUGUCAAAAAAGGGAGACACUUUAUCACUUUUAUAUAUAAAAGAAAUAAAAAAGUUUGCCAUGGUUUCAGUGUGUACAUAUGGCCAUUGUCAGUCUGUUAUGGACUUGUGAGUUUGAUGUCACUUUGGUAUAAACGAUAGCCUCUCUUUGAAUUGAUAUUGUAUUUUUACAGGGUUUAUAGUAUUUUGGGCUGUAAAGAUCUUUUAAAAAAAAAUCACAUUGAAAGGUAUUUAUUUUCAGCCAGGCAACAAAAACCCAUAUAUAUGACAGGAAGAUAAGGCCAAAAAUGACAGUUAGGUUGUUUGAUGUUGCCUAUCAAACCACCUAAAAAAACAGCUACCCAAAAAAUUAUAUAACAAAAAUCAGUUCAUUUUUUUAUAUAAAGUUUUCUGAUUUCUCUAACUGGCAAAAAAACAAAACAAAAAAAAACCAGAAUUCUUAUGGUUGACCUAAAGGUGGAGAGUUCUACACAAUGGGAAGAGGGGAACUGUGCCCCUUUACUUUGGAUAAAGCAGUACACUGUAAAAAAAGUUUCUAUCCAUGCUUCAAAGUUGCUUUUGGAAUGUUGGAACCUUUUUAACAAAUAUAAAGACAAAAUAUGGUAUUUUGACUUCUGAGAUUGGUAUGUGUACAAGAUACACAUUUUUUAAGUGCUAUUUUUAGCAGUGAACACUGUUGUUAAGUUUCAUGCUCUGUUUGUUAUAUAAGAAGAUCUGAUAUUUUUAUUAUUGAGUAUGCUUUUAUAAUGUGCAAUACUUUUUCUAGCUAUUUAUAUUAUUUGUGCUAUUAUUGGUUGUUUCAUUGUAGAAUAAUAUAGACUGAUUCUGGUUCCCAUGCAUGUAUAUAUUUCAUUUAAGUACCAGUCUAAGCAAUUGCAAAUUGAUUUUUACCCAUGACGCUGAAGUUUUUAAAUGUAUAUAAUGUCUUUCUACCAAUAUAGAUACAUACUUAUCUGGUAAAAGCCUUUCUAAAUAUUGAUCAUCGAGGUUAGGAACAGUUGUUUUAUAUUUUAGUCAUGGGUCAUUUAUGGUUGUAUAUCCACUUGUUGUAUACAACAUUACUAAAAGUAAAAGUUAUGUUUGUUGUGGGGAAUAUUUCGAAGUAUAGGUUUUUACCUUUUCUCAUUCAGUUUAACGGAUAGCAAUCUAACCAGAUUAUUCUCAUUUACCAAACUACAUUUUAUUUAUUAAUUAAUUUUGUGUUUUACAGCAAAGCUGUAUAUAUUACACAUUUAGUUGUCAUAUGAAGCCUGGUUUGGUUCAUGGCUUGGUUUUCUGAUCUGCCUGUCUAUACAUGUUCACAAGGAUCAUUUUUCAUAGGAAUGUUGUUUUAAUAUUUUGGGUCAAAUUUCUGACACAAACUAUGGUGCAUACAUUUUGUAGAGAUAUUUUUUAAAAGCAUUACUGAAAACUUUUAUAACCAAUAUUAUGACAACAAAUUAAUAUAACACAAAAUUACUGAAUAUUUAGGAAGUUAAAAUUUCAGCAACUACAAUAAUAUUCAAGUUGAAGUUUCUAUACCCUUUCUCCGCAGCACAAGAUUGUGUAUCAGAUAUAAAAGGACAUGAGAUCUUUCCCAUGUAUUUUUAAUUACUACUCAAUAAUUAAAUUCUAACCCAAAUUUAAGCCACGUUUUGGCUGGUGGAAAUGGGAGAAGAAUAAGGUCAUUAUAAGACCCAUUGAUUUAUGUAGCGUUAUAUGACAUGUGUUCAAAAGAAAAAAAAAUCAAAUUGUUUUAUCAUAUUCAUUGUAUAUUGACAUCAAUAUCAUUGGAAUUAUUUAUUGCUUUUUGUAAAAGAUUGUAUAAACCAUUUUUUUUUUUUUAUAAAAAUGAAAAUUGUAAAGCCUGCUAGACUGAAUUUAUAUAUUAGUCUGAUGAUUUUGAUAGCAUGUAAAGUGUGUAUAGUUCUUGGCACAACUCUUUUGUUUCCAUACUUUAAUUCAUGUGUUCAAUUUAAUUUUAUAUUUAUCACGACUAAGCAAAGUUUGUAAAUGUUAAACAUUAUAAUUUUUACAAGCUAUAUGUACAAGCAUUGCUAUUAUUUUGAUAACUUUUUUCUUUCAGUAAACACAAAAAACCAGUUCAACCAGCUUAAUGUUUUCUCAAAUUGUUAAAGCUUCAACCCAAGAUAGACCACUCUCUACUUUGAAUUUGAUUUUAUUGGAACUAUAUUCUAAGUUCCAAAAUUAUGAUAGACUGUUGAUUCAUUUAUUUUCAAAUAUAAAUUUUUCGUGAAUUUUUAGGAAAUUUUUCAGUUUUUGGUCAUUAUCUUGAAUAUUAUUAUAGAUGAAGAUAAACUGUAAACAGCAAAAAUGAUCAGCAAAGUAAGAUCUACAAAUAGGUUAAUAUGAC